rnacentral:rRNA from 1 species
GUUUUAUGGUCAAGCUACUAAGGGCAUACGGUGGAUGCCUUGGUGUCAGGAGGCGAUGAAAGACGUGGUAAGCUGCGAUAAGCUUCGGGGAGCCGCUAAACAGGCUUAGAUCCGGAGACCUCUGAAUGGGAAAACCCAUCCCGAGUAAUUUCGGGGUAUCCCGUCAUGAAUACAUAGUGGCGGGAGGCGAACGAGGGGAACUGAAACAUCUCAGUACCUUCAGGAAAAGAAAUCAAUCGAGAUUCCCUGAGUAGUGGCGAGCGAAAGGGGAUGAGCCUAAAUCCCGUAUAUGUUAAAGCCUGUGAGCGUUGUAUACGGGAGGUAACGGGUUCUUAUCGGAAGUCCUCACAGGGACUUCGGGGAGAAUCCACUUCCAUAGUCGAAGGAGCUGGAAAGCUCUGCCGUAGAAGGUGAUAGACCUGUAGACGAAAUGGAAUUGGAAUCCCUGGAUAGGAUACCCAAGUACCACGGGACACGGGAAAUCCUGUGGGAAUUCGGGAGGACCAUCUUCCAAGGCUAAAUACUACCUGGCAACCGAUAGUGAACUAGUACCGUGAGGGAAAGGUGAAAAGAACCCCGAUGAGGGGAGUGAAAUAGUACCUGAAACCGUAUGCUUACAAGCAGUGGGAGGACGUUGGGUUAGUUGAAGGUUCGCCUCUAGCUAAUCCUGUCUGACUGCGUGCCUUUUGCAUAAUGAGCCUGCGAGUUACUCUAUGUGGCGAGGUUAAUUCCUCAAGAGGAAGGAGCCGCAGCGAAAGCGAGUCUUAAAAGGGCGAUUUAGUCGCAUGGAGUAGACCCGAAACCAAGUGAUCUAUCCAUGGCCAGGGUGAAAUUCGCGUAAUGGCGAAUGGAGGCCCGAACCGGUGAAGGUUGAAAACUUCUCGGAUGAGUUGUGGAUCGGAGUGAAAGGCUAAUCAAACUUGGAGAUAGCUGGUUCUCCCCGAAAUAUAUUUAGGUAUAGCCUCAGGACAUUCGCUAACGGAGGUAGAGCACUGGAUGGGCUAGGGGUCCUACCAGAUUACCAAACCCAACCAAACUUCGAAUGCCGUUAAGCGUUAUCUUGGGAGUCAGCCCGUGGGAGAUAACUUCCGUGGACGAGAGGGGAACAUCCCAGACCGUCAGCUAAGGUCCCUAAAAUGUGCUAAGUGGGAAAGGAUGUGGAAACGCUCAGACAGCCAGGAGGUUGGCUUAGAAGCAGCCAUCCUUUAAAGAAAGCGUAAUAGCUCACUGGUCAAGUGGGUCUGCGCCAAAAAUGUAACGGGGCUUAAGCACAUUACCGAAGCUACGGACCCCGUGGAAUAUGAAAAUUACUCCACAGGGUGGUAGGGGAGCAUUCCAUCAUAGAGCGAAGGGUGACCGUGAGGACACCUGGACGAAAUGGAAGGGAUCAUGCAGGCACGAGUAGCGAUAAUGCUGAUGAGAAACCAGCACGCCGUAAACCUAAGGUUUCCUGAGCAAGGUUAAUCCUCUCAGGGUUAGUCGAUCCCUAAGCCGAGGCUGAGAAGCGUAGGUGAUGGGAAACAGGUUAAUAUUCCUGUACCACCGGGUUGGCGUUUGAGCGAUGAGGGGGUGCAGAAGGGUAGGUCAUCCAGGUGUUGGAUGUCCUGGUUCAAGCCCGUAGGUGGGAACUUUUGGUAAGUCCGGAGUUCCAAUUAUAAACACCGAGAGGUGAUGACGUUUUCGAGUAAUCGGAAGCAAGUGACUGAGCCCAUGCUGACAAGAAAAGCCUCUAGCAAGUCAAUCAGGUGAUCGUACCGCAAACCGACUCAGGUAGGUGGGGAGAAUAUCCCAAGGCGCUUGAGAGAACCCUGGUUAAGGAACUCGGCACACUAACACCGUAACUUCGGAAGAAGGUGUGUCAUGAUCUGUGAAGGGACUUGCUCCCGGAGCAGAUUGUGAUCGCAGUGAAAUGGGGGUGGCGACUGUUUACUAAAAACACAGGAGUCUGCUAAGUCGAAAGACGAUGUAUAGGCUCUGACGCCUGCCCGGUGCUGGAAGGUUAAGGGGAUUCGUCAUGUUGUAGCAAUACGACAGAAGCGUUGAACCGAAGCCCCAGUAAACGGCGGCCGUAACUAUAACGGUCCUAAGGUAGCGAAA